AUUGAACGCUGGCGGCAGGCCUAACACAUGCAAGUCGAGCGGAUGAAGGGAGCUUGCUCCUGGAUUCAGCGGCGGACGGGUGAGUAAUGCCUAGGAAUCUGCCUGGUAGUGGGGGAUAACGUCCGGAAACGGGCGCUAAUACCGCAUACUUCCUGAGGGAGAAAGUGGGGGAUCUUCGGACCUCACGCUAUCAGAUGAGCCUAGGUCGGAUUAGCUAGUUGGUGGGGUAAAGGCCUACCAAGGCGACGAUCCGUAACUGGUCUGAGAGGAUGAUCAGUCACACUGGAACUGAGACACGGUCCAGACUCCUACGGGAGGCAGCAGUGGGGAAUAUUGGACAAUGGGCGAAAGCCUUAUCCAGCCAUGCCGCGUGUGUUAAGAAGGUCUUCGGAUUGUAAAGCACUUUAAGUUGGGAGGAAGGGCAGUAAGUUAAUACCUUGCUGUUUUGACGUUACCAACAGAAUAAGCACCGGCUAACUUCGUG
rnacentral:rRNA from 1 species